rnacentral:rRNA from 1 species
UACGGGGGGGGGCAAGCGUUGUUCGGAAUUACUGGGCGUAAAGGGCUCGUAGGCGGCCAACUAAGUCGGAUGUGAAAUCCCCCAGCUUAACCUGGGAACUGCAUCCGAUACUGGAUGGCUUGAAUCCGGGAGAGGGAUGCAGAAUUCCAGGUGUAGCGGUGAAAUGCGUAGAUAUCAGGAGGAACACCAAUUGCGAAGGCAGCUCGCUGGGACGUAACUGACGCUGAGACGCGAAAGCGUGGGGAGCAAACAGG